rnacentral:rRNA from 1 species
AUUGAACGCUGGCGGCAGGCCUAACACAUGCAAGUCGAGCGGAUGAAGGGAGCUUGCUCCUGGAUUCAGCGGCGGACGGGUGAGUAAUGCCUAGGAAUCUGCCUGGUAGUGGGGGAUAACGUCCGGAAACGGGCGCUAAUACCGCAUACGUCCUGAGGGAGAAAGUGGGGGAUCUUCGGACCUCACGCUAUCAGAUGAGCCUAGGUCGGAUUAGCUAGUUGGUGGGGUAAAGGCCUACCAAGGCGACGAUCCGUAACUGGUCUGAGAGGAUGAUCAGUCACACGUGAACUGAGACACGGUCCAGACUCCUACGGGAGGCAGCAGUGGGGAAUAUUGGACAAUGGGCGAAAGCCUGAUCCAGCCAUGCCGCGUGUGUGAAGAAGGUCUUCGGAUUGUAAAGCACUUUAAGUUGGGAGGAAGGGCAGUAAGUUAAUACCUUGCUGUUUUGACGUUACCAACAGAAUAAGCACCGGCUAACUUCGUG